AUUGAACGCUGGCGGAAUGCUUUACACAUGCAAGUCGAACGGUAACAGGUCUUCGGAUGCUGACGAGUGGCGAACGGGUGAGUAAUAUAUCGGAACGUGCCCAGUCGUGGGGGAUAACGUAGCGAAAGUUACGCUAAUACCGCAUACGAUCUAUGGAUGAAAGCGGGGGAUCGCAAGAACUCGCGCGAUUGGAGCGGCCGAUAUCAGAUUAGGUAGUUGGUGGGGUAAAGGCUCACCAAGCCAACGAUCUGUAGCUGGUCUGAGAGGACGACCAGCCACACUGGAACUGAGACACGGUCCAGACUCCUACGGGAGGCAGCAGUGGGGAAUUUUGGACAAUGGACGCAAGUCUGAUCCAGCCAUUCCGCGUGCAGGAUGAAGGCCCUCGGGUUGUAAACUGCUUUUGUACGGAACGAAAAGGUCUCUCCUAAUACGAGGGGCUCAUGACGGUACCGUAAGAAUAAGCACCGGCUAACUACGUGCCAGCAGCCGCCGUAAAAC
rnacentral:rRNA from 1 species